GUAACGGCCCACCAAGGCGACGAUCAGUAGCCGGACUGAGAGGUUGGCCGGCCACAUUGGGACUGAGACACGGCCCAGACUCCUACGGGAGGCAGCAGUGGGGAAUAUUGGGCAAUGGGCGCAAGCCUGACCCAGCAACGCCGCGUGAAGGAAGAAGGCUUUCGGGUUGUAAACUUCUUUUCUUGAGGACGAAGAAGUGACGGUACUCAAGGAAUAAGCUCCGGCUAACUAC
rnacentral:rRNA from 1 species